GCCUGGCUGGCUCAGUUGGUAGAAUAUGAGACUCUUGACCUCUGGGUUGUGAGUUCAAGCCUCACGUUGGGCA
rnacentral:tRNA from 1 species